CCUACGGGAGGCAGCAGUAGGGAAUCUUCCGCAAUGGACGAAAGUCUGACGGAGCAACGCCGCGUGAGUGAUGAAGGUUUUCGGAUCGUAAAGCUCUGUUGUUAGGGAAGAACAAGUACAAGAGUAACUGCUUGUACCUUGACGGUACCUAACCAGAAAGCCACGGCUAACUACGUGCCAGCAGCCGCGGUAAU
rnacentral:rRNA from 1 species